rnacentral:rRNA from 1 species
CAACGUGGGGAACCUGCCCCAUAGUCUGGGAUACCACUUGGAAACAGGUGCUAAUACCGGAUAAGAAAGCAGAUCGCAUGAUCAGCUUUUAAAAGGCGGCGUAAGCUGUCGCUAUGGGAUGGCCCCGCGGUGCAUUAGCUAGUUGGUAAGGUAAAGGCUUACCAAGGCGAUGAUGCAUAGCCGAGUUGAGAGACUGAUCGGCCACAUUGGGACUGAGACACGGCCCAAACUCCUACGGGAGGCAGCAGGG